AUUAGAUACCCUGGUAGUCCACGCCCUAAACUAUGUCAACUAGUUGUCGGGGAUUCAUUUCCUUGGUAACGCAGCUAACGCGUGAAGUUGACCGCCUGGGGAGUACGGCCGCAAGGUUAAAACUCAAAGGAAUUGACGGGGACCCGCACAAGCGGUGGAUGAUGUGGAUUAAUUCGAUGCAACGCGAAAAACCUUACCUACGCUUGACAUGCCAGGAACUUUCCAGAGAUGGAUUGGUGCCCGAAAGGGAACCUGGACACAGGUGCUGCAUGGCUGUCGUCAGCUCGUGUCGUGAGAUGUUGGGUUAAGUCCCGCAACGAGCGCAACCCUUAUCCCUAGUUGCUACGCAAGGGCACUCUAGGGAGACUGCCGGUGACAAACCGGAGGAAGGUGGGGAUGACGUCAAGUCCUCAUGGCCCUUAUGUGUAGGGCUUCACACGUCAUACAAUGGUCGGUACAGAGGGUCGCCAACCCGCGAGGGGGAGCCAAUCCCAGAAAACCGAUCGUAGUCCGGAUUGCACUCUGCAACUCGAGUGCAUGAAGUCGGAAUCGCUAGUACUCGCGGAUCAGCAUGUCGCGGUGAAUACGUUCCCGGGUCUUGUACACACCGCCCGUCACACCAUGGGAGUGGGUUCUACCAGAAGUAGGUAGCCUAACCGCAAGGAGGGCGCUUACCACGGUAGGGCUCAUGACUGGGGUGAAGUCGUAACAAGGUAGCCGUAUCGGAAGGUGCGGCUGGAUCACCUCCU
rnacentral:rRNA from 1 species